UAUUUUUUUGGUAAAUUAAUACAGCAGAUGGAAAGACAAUAAGGUCACAGGUGUAACAUCACCCACAGAGAAAGUUUCAAGAAAGAUGGAUCACAUUUUAAGAUUUACGAUUUACUGUAUCUUUUCUAUAAAUCUUGUCCGAAGCCAAUGUGCAUUUCCGUGCUCAAGACAAAAUGUAACUUAUGACGGAGUAAAUCCUGGUAUUGACGCUAUAUACGGAACUCAAACAGAUAAAACGAUUCUACAAGUGUUCGAUGCUAAUACUAUUCUGGCAGAAUUCUAUUGCGUGUCAAGAUCGGGACCUUUCUAUCUGUUACGUGAAAACAAUGGGACCCAUGACCUAUACAGAUGUAACAAAGAUGUCAUUUAUAAACAGGCACCAGAAAUCAUUGUUGUAUACAAGAGUC